rnacentral:rRNA from 1 species
CAGUAGCCGCGGGAAUACGUAGGUGGCAAGCGUUGUCCGGUAUUAUUGGGCGUAAAGGGCUCGCAGGCGGUUUCUUAAGUCUGAUGUGAAAGCCCCCGGCUCAACCGGGGAGGGUCAUUGGAAACUGGGAAACUUGAGUGCAGAAGAGGAGAGUGGAAUUCCACGUGUAGCGGUGAAAUGUGUAGAGAUGUGGAGGAACACCAGUGGCGAAGGCGACUCUCUGGUCUGUAACUGACGCUGAGGAGCGAAAGCGUGGGGAGCGAACAGGAUUAGAUACCCCAGUAGUCCCUGUCUCUUAUAC